AGAUUGAACGCUGGCGGCAGGCCUAACACAUGCAAGUCGAGCGGUAGAGAGGUGCUUGCAUCUCUUGAGAGCGGCGGACGGGUGAGUAAUGCCUAGGAAUCUGCCUAGUGGUGGGGGAUAACGUUCGGAAACGGACGCUAAUACCGCAUACGUCCUACGGGAGAAAGCGGGGGACCUUCGGGCCUCGCGCCAUUAGAUGAGCCUAGGUCGGAUUAGCUAGUUGGUGAGGUAAUGGCUCACCAAGGCGACGAUCCGUAACUGGUCUGAGAGGAUGAUCAGUCACACUGGAACUGAGACACGGUCCAGACUCCUACGGGAGCAGCAGUGGGAAUAUUGGACAAUGGGACGAAAGCCUGACUCCGAGCCAUGCCGCGUGUGUAGAAGAAGGUCGUUCGGAUUAGUAAAGCUAACGUUUAAGGUU
rnacentral:rRNA from 1 species